GCCUUUGUAGUACAGUGGUUAGUAUAGAGGAUUGUGGAUCCUCGGACAGGGGUUCGAUUCCCCUCAAAGGCC
rnacentral:tRNA from 2 species